UUGUGCGUUAAUUGACUUGUCUUGUUUUCAUUUUUGCUGUCUUCCCCUUUGUUAGAACUUUAAUAAGUGUCUCAAAAAACAGUUUUUAUCAAAACUGCAGAUCAUUGUGGAAUAAUCUCAGUUCUUUGGCGCAAUCAUCAUGCCUAUUACCGUAAUGGGGUGUUAAAUGAGGAUGGGGAUGGAGUGUACUCUGUGGAGGCGUCUAAAAACGAGUAUCUAGUGAAAUGUUCUGUUGUCAUUGAUGAAGAAUCUUUGAAGACGCUAUACGGCGAAUUAUGGCCAGAUUUAACGACACUGGUAGCAUUUCUAAGUGAAAACCGACGGGGAGGCCUCAAGUUAGUGAAGACGUUGUUGAAGAUUUAAGGAUGAGAAUGGAACAAAGUCCGAAUAAAGCUUUGUCAAAAAUCUUUACUGUCCGGAGUACCAUACAGCCCAUGUCAGAAAAUCGUAAAAGAGAAGUUACAUAUGCAUCCAUACAAGAUUUUGUUGGUUCAGGAGCUGCAACCAGCUGAUUUUCCUUGCCGCGUUGGGUAUUGUAGUUGGUUUCAAGCUGAUAUGGAUGAUAACGGGAUUCUCGAUUUGUCGUUCUUUUCUGAUGAAGCCUGGUUUCAUCUGUUAGGCUAUUAUGUCAACUGACAGAACUUCAGAAUUUGGUGUAUAGAAAAUACUCACGCUUUUGAAGAAACACCAUCACACGCAAUGAAGGUUGGUGUGUGGUUAGCUGUUUCCAGACGACGAUUCAUAGGCCUGAUACUUUUUCAAGUAAAUGAAUGUGAUCAAUAAACAAAAUUAGAUGUAGAAAGUGUAUGUAGGUACUGCAAUAAAGUUUUUUAUUUUCAGUAA